rnacentral:rRNA from 1 species
GACGAACGCUGGCGGCGUGCUUAACACAUGCAAGUCGAACGGAAAGGCCCUGCUUUUGUGGGGUGCUCGAGUGGCGAACGGGUGAGUAACACGUGAGUAACCUGCCCUUGACUUUGGGAUAACUUCAGGAAACUGGGGCUAAUACCGGAUAGGAGCUCCUGCUGCAUGGUGGGGGUUGGAAAGUUUCGGCGGUUGGGGAUGGACUCGCGGCUUAUCAGCUUGUUGGUGGGGUAGUGGCUUACCAAGGCUUUGACGGGUAGCCGGCCUGAGAGGGUGACCGGCCACAUUGGGACUGAGAUACGGACCAGACGCCUACGGGAGGCAGCAGUGGGGAAUAUUGCACAAUGGGCCGAAGUCUGAUGCAGCAACGCCGCGUGCGGGAUGACGGCCUUCGGGUUGGAAACCGCUUUCGCCUGUGACGAAGCGUGAGUGACGGUAAUGGGUAAAGAAGCACCGGCUAACUACGUG